rnacentral:rRNA from 1 species
GAUGAACGCUAGCUACAGGCUUAACACAUGCAAGUCGAGGGGCAGCAUGGUCUUAGCUUGCUAAGGCCGAUGGCGACCGGCGCACGGGUGAGUAACACGUAUCCAACCUGCCGUCUACUCUUGGACAGCCUUCUGAAAGGAAGAUUAAUACAAGAUGGCAUCAUGAGUCCACAUGUUCACAUGAUUAAAGGUAUUCCGGUAGACGAUGGGGAUGCGUUCCAUUAGAUAGUAGGCGGGGUAACGGCCCACCUAGUCUUCGAUGGAUAGGGGUUCUGAGAGGAAGGUCCCCCACAUUGGAACUGAGACACGGUCCAAACUCCUACGGGAGGCAGCAGUGAGGAAUAUUGGUCAAUGGGCGAGAGCCUGAACCAGCCAAGUAGCGUGAAGGAUGACUGCCCUAUGGGUUGUAAACCUCUUUUAUAAAGGAAUAAAGUCGGGUAUGGAUACCCGUUUGCAUGUACUUUAUGAAUAAGGAUCGGCUAACUCCGUGCCAGCAGCCGCGGUAAUACGGAGGAUCCGAGCGUUAUCCGGAUUUAUUGGGUUUAAAGGGAGCGUAGAUGGAUGUUUAAGUCAGUUGUGAAAGUUUGCGGCUCAACCGUAAAAUUGCAGUUGAUACUGGAUAUCUUGAGUGCAGUUGAGGCAGGCGGAAUUCGUGGUGUAGCGGUGAAAUGCUUAGAUAUCACGAAGAACUCCGAUUGCGAAGGCAGCCUGCUAAGCUGCAACUGACAUUGAGGCUCGAAAGUGUGGGUAUCAAACAGGAUUAGAUACCCUGGUAGUCCACACGGUAAACGAUGAAUACUCGCUGUUUGCGAUAUACAGCAAGCGGCCAAGCGAAAGCGUUAAGUAUUCCACCUGGGGAGUACGCCGGCAACGGUGAAACUCAAAGGAAUUGACGGGGGCCCGCACAAGCGGAGGAACAUGUGGUUUAAUUCGAUGAUACGCGAGGAACCUUACCCGGGCUUAAAUUGCAGAUGAAUUACGGUGAAAGCCGUAAGCCGCAAGGCAUCUGUGAAGGUGCUGCAUGGUUGUCGUCAGCUCGUGCCGUGAGGUGUCGGCUUAAGUGCCAUAACGAGCGCAACCCUUGUUGUCAGUUACUAACAGGUUCCGCUGAGGACUCUGACAAGACUGCCAUCGUAAGAUGUGAGGAAGGUGGGGAUGACGUCAAAUCAGCACGGCCCUUACGUCCGGGGCUACACACGUGUUACAAUGGGGGGUACAGAGGGCCGCUACCACGCGAGUGGAUGCCAAUCCCAAAAACCUCUCUCAGUUCGGACUGGAGUCUGCAACCCGACUCCACGAAGCUGGAUUCGCUAGUAAUCGCGCAUCAGCCACGGCGCGGUGAAUACGUUCCCGGGCCU